rnacentral:rRNA from 1 species
UGGGGAAUCUUCCGCAAUGGACGAAAGUCUGACGGAGCAACGCCGCGUGAGUGAAGAAGGUUUUCGGAUCGUAAAACUCUGUCUUUUGGGGCGAACGUGAGUAUGGUGAACAAUCAUAGUCAGUGACGGUACCAAAGGAGGAAGCCACGGCUAACUACGUGCCAGCAGCCGCGGUAAUACGUAGGUGGCAAGCGUUGUCCGGAAUUAUUGGGCGUAAAGAGCGCGUAGGCGGGAUAGUCAGUCUGUUGUAAAGUGCGGGGCUCAACCCCGUGAUCGCAAUGGAAACAGCUAUUCUUGAGUGCAGGAGAGGAAAGUGGAAUUCCCAGUGUAGCGGUGAAAUGCGUAGAUAUUGGGAGGAACACCAGUGGCGAAGGCGACUUUCUGGACUGUGUCUGACGCUGAGGCGCGAAAGCCAGGGGGAGCGAACGGGAUUUAGAUACCCCCGGUAGUCCUGGCCGUAAACGAUGGGGUACUAGUGUGGGAGGUAUCGACCCCCUUUCCGUGCCGGAGUUAANGCAAUAAGUACCCCCGCCUGGGGAGUACGGUCGCAAGACUGAAACUCAAAGGAAUUGACGGGGUCAUAGCUGUUUCCUG